GUCCGUUGGUCAAGGGGUUAAGACACCGCCUUUUCACGGCGGUAACACGUAGCCUUCCAAGCUGUUGUCGCGAGUUCGAUUCUCGUCACCCGCU
rnacentral:tRNA from 1 species